rnacentral:rRNA from 1 species
ACUCCUACGGGAGGCAGCAGUGGGGAAUAUUGCACAAUGGGGGAAACCCCUGAUGCAGCCAUGCCGCGUGUGUGAAGAAGGCCUCGGUUGUAAAGCACUUCUAGUAGGGAGGGAAGGUAGUGUAGUUAACUACCUGUCACUAUUUGACGUUACCUACAGAAGAAGCACCGGCUAACUCCGUGCCAGCAGCCGCGGUAAUACGGAGGGUGCGAGCGUUAAUCGGAAUUACUGGGCGUAAAGCGCAUGCAGGCGGCCUGUUAAGUCAGACUGUGAAAGCCCGGGGGCUUAACCUCGGAAUUGCAUUUGAAACUGGCAGGCUAGAGUCUUGUAGAGGGGGGUUAGAAUUUCAGGUGUAGCGGUGAAAUGCGUAGAGGAUCUGAAGGAAUACCCGGUGGCGAAGGCGGCCCCCGUGGACAGAUACUGACACUCAGAUGCGAAAGCGUGGGGAGCAAACA